AAUAUGGUUGUGGGUAAGACGCUGGCUCGCUAGCCUGGAGGUCGGGUGUUCGAUCCCUGCAUUGGCCGAGAAACUUCAUCCAGAUUUUCUGACAUUGGAAUUCGAUAUAAGAGUAGGCUGUAGCCUAUAUAUAGUCGGUGGGGACCGGAUUGUGAAGUCACAGAUGGACCGAAGUCUUUAUGUAUCACCGGGGGGAGCACGGUGGCUAAGUAGUGAAUAAUUAUCCAAUACAGAAAAGCAGUAAUCGUGUACAGUACCAUAUACACAAGAAAGGGAAUGCCUUAUCAGUCUCAAGAAUGGUUGUAAGAACAAACAAAAAAUGACCAUCAUCUAGCAUCGGAGGGUUAAUAAUGGAUUGUGAACUGAUGGAUCAAGACAAUAUUGUUCAUUAUUCAUAAUAUGUGCAUUUUUACAGAACAACCACACUGUCGGUGCUUAUACAUGAACAAAAUUUGAGAUAUUUCAUCCAGAACAAUAACUGUGGUAGUCAAGCACUGCCAAUGUGGGUUAAAGACUACAAUAUAUGCAGCAAUAGUGGACCUGUAUCUGUUAAAUACAACGUACCUAUAUAACAUGUAUAUUAUCAGACACAACAAAAAAUAAAUAGAGUAGUUUUAAUCACCCUAGAAAUCUUUUUGGUUACCCCCUCCAAAACACUAAUUACAUGUAUAUACUACUUACCUUUUUUAACACCUUUCCUUUUGGGAGCCUUUUUGGCUUUGGGUUUGCCUAGCAAAGUAAAACAGUUUGUAAAGACUCUUUAAAAGGUUCACAUUACAUGGAAGUACUAAACAUUGUUUACACAACUACAAUUUAUGGGAGAUUUGUUCCUUGAAAUUCAAUCAUAACCAUAGAAUCCUGUGCACUUAGCUUUUAUUUGUGAAUAAUUUAUUAGACUUUUAAAAAAUAAUAACCAUCAUUACUAAAUAUAUCUGUUCAGCACCUCUGGGAAAUUGUUGUUAUGCCAGUUAAUUACAUCCAUAUGAAGAUAGAAGGAAAAUAUAUAGGGUUAGU